GACGAACGCUGGCGGCGUGCUUAACACAUGCAAGUCGAACGGAAAGGCCCUGCUUUUGUGGGGUGCUCGAGUGGCGAACGGGUGAGUAACACGUGAGUAACCUGCCCUUGACUUUGGGAUAACUUCAGGAAACCGGUGCUAAUACCGGAUAGGAGCUCCUGCUGCAUGGUGGGGGUUGGAAAGUUUCGUCGGUUGGGGAUGGACUCGCGGCUUAUCAGCUUGUUGGUGGGGUAGUGGCUUACCAAGGCUUUGACGGGUAGCCGGCCUGGGAGGGUGACCGGCCACAUUGGGACUGAGAUACGGCCCAGACUCCUACGGGAGGCAGCAGUGGGGAAUAUUGCACAAUGGGCGGAAGCCUGAUGCAGCAACGCCGCGUGCGGGAUGACGGCCUUCGUGUUGUAAACCGCUUUCGCCUGUGACGAAGCGUGAGUGACGGUAAUGGGUAAAGAAGCACCGGCUAACUACGUG
rnacentral:rRNA from 1 species